UGAAAUGAUGAUUUUUCAGUUACGUUGAAAAGAACCUUUUUAAAGGCAUUUUAA
rnacentral:tRNA from 1 species